GGUGAACGCUGGCGGUGGGCCUAACACAUGCAAGUCGAACGGUGGCACACUACUAGCUUGCUCUAAUGGGUGGGGACUGGUGAGUAGCAUGGGAAUAACUCGGAAUAUACUUUGUGAUAGGGGAGGAAGUAUGGGAAUUUUCGCUAAUACGACAUCUCACCUACUGGUGAGAGUUGGGAAUCUUUCUACCUUGCGCGUUUACUCGCGGCGAUGUCGGAUUAGCUAGUCGUCGGGGUAAAGGCCCACCAAGGCGACGAUCCGUAGCUGGUCUGAGAGGAUGAUCAGCCACACUGGAACUGAGACACGGUCCAGGCUCCUACGGGAGGCAGCAGUGGGGAAUAUUGGACAAUGGGCGCAAGCCUGAUCCAGCCAUACCGCGUGGGUGAAGAAGGCCUUCGGGUUGUAAAGCCCUUUUGUUGGGAAAGAAAAGCAGCAGGUUAAUACCCCGCUGUUCUGACGGUACCCAAAGAAUAAGCACCGGCUAACUUCGUG
rnacentral:rRNA from 1 species